rnacentral:rRNA from 1 species
CACGUAGGGGGCGAGCGUUGUCCGGAUUUAUUGGGCGUAAAGAGCUCGUAGGUGGUUCAGUAAGUCGAGUGUGAAACCUCCAGGCUCAACCUGGAGACGCCACCCGAUACUGCUGUGACUAGAGUCCAGUAGGGGAGCACGGAAUUCCUGGUGUAGCGGUGAAAUGCGCAGAUAUCAGGAGGAACACCAGUGGCGAAGGCGGUGCUCUGGGCUAGAACUGACACUGAGGAGCGAAAGCGUGGGUAGCAAACAGG